rnacentral:rRNA from 1 species
UACAGGGGCCCCAAGCGUUACUGAGAAUCACUGGGUUUAAAGGGUGCGUAGGUGGCGCGUUAAGUCCGUUGUGAAAGCCCUGGGCUCAACCCAGGAACUGCUUCGGAUACUGGCGCGCUUGAGGCUAGUAGGGGUCACUGGAACUGACGGUGGAGCGGUGAAAUGCGUAGAUAUCGUCAGGAACGCCAAUGGUGAAGACAGGUGACUGGGCUAGAUCUGACACUGAGGCACGAAAGCGUGGGGAGCGAACGGG